rnacentral:ncRNA from 1 species
AUGUGGUUUAAUUCGAUGAAAAAUGAAGAACCUUAUUGGUGCCUGACUUGAAAGAGACAGGUGCCUUUGGAAAUGCGGACACAGAUAUGGUUCAUGGAUGUCGUUAGCUCGUGCCGUGAGGUGUUGAGUUAAGUCCUGCAAUGAGCGUAAUCCUCGUGAAAGGAAUUCAGAAUAAAUCACAAUGAAAAUAUUUGAUGUAUUCAU